rfam:Trichobilharzia regenti genome assembly, scaffold: TRE_scaffold0016743
GUACUGAUGAAGAGUCCCAAACUAGGACGAAACAGCUAUCCAGUAC